rnacentral:rRNA from 1 species
UCGGGAAUUUUGGGCAAUGGGCGAAAGCCUGACCCAGCAACGCCGCGUGAGGGAUGAAGUAUUUCGGUAUGUAAACCUCGAAAGAAUGGGAAGAAUAAAUGACGGUACCAUUUAUAAGCUCCGGCUAACUACGUGCCAGCAGCCGCGGUAAUACGUAGGGAGCAAGCGUUGUUCGGAUUUACUGGGCGUAAAGGGCGCGUAGGCGGCGCGGUAAGUCACUUGUGAAAUCUCUGAGCUUAACUCAGAACGGCCAAGUGAUACUGCUGUGCUAGAGUGCGGAAGGGGCAACCGGAAUUCUUGGUGUAGCGGUGAAAUGCGUAGAUAUCAAGAGGAACACCGGAGUCGAAGGCGGGUUGCUGGGCCGACACUGACGCUGAUGCGCGAAAGCCAGGGGAGCAAACG